rnacentral:rRNA from 1 species
GAGGCGGGCUGGACCUCUCGGGGUUACAGCCUUGCUGAAUUAUUCACCCUUGUCUUUUGCGUACUUCUUGUUUCCUUGGUGGGUUCGCCCACCACUAGGACAAACAUAAACCUUUUGUAAUUGCAAUCAGCGUCAGUAACAAAUUAAUAAUUACAACUUUCAACAACGGAUCUCUUGGUUCUGGCAUCGAUGAAGAACGCAGCGAAAUGCGAUAAGUAGUGUGAAUUGCAGAAUUCAGUGAAUCAUCGAAUCUUUGAACGCACAUUGCGCCCUUUGGUAUUCCAAAGGGCAUGCCUGUUCGAGCGUCAUUUGUACCCUCAAGCUUUGCUUGGUGUUGGGCGUCUUGUCUCUAGCUUUGCUGGAGACUCGCCUUAAAGUAAUUGGCAGCCGGCCUACUGGUUUCGGAGCGCAGCACAAGUCGCACUCUCUAUCAGCAAAGGUCUAGCAUCCAUUAAGCCUUUUUUUCAACUUUUGACCUCGGAUCAGGUAGGGAUACCCGCUGAACUUAAGCAUAUCAAUAA